UGCGAAGGAGCAUGGCGGGCUUUAUGUGGCGAUCUUCGUUGAUGGGCUUCCGCAUUACUUUCUUGGGUACUGCUCAAGAGUUUAAAUGUAAGUUUCUUCGAAGAAAGAAAACCCUGUUUCUUUGAUAUUAUUAGGUUCAAUCGAAGUUCUUAACCAAAUAUUCGUUCUUCCUGUCAUAAUCCCUCAUCCACAUUGUAGUAAUUAAGAUCGUGAAAUGAUUAAUCAACUAUAGUGGCUAUCUACACUUUGAAAAAUGAUAUCCUGACAGAAUUUUGCUGGACAUUUUAUCUGUUCCUUCAUUGUAUUUUUCUAAUCGUAAGCCGGAUCGUUGGUAUUUAGGUUCUAAUAGGCAGCAUUCGAUACCAAUACGCUCGGUGGCAUAGGAAGUUUAGAAAAAUGCACACGAGCUUGCAUUGAAGGAAGAUGCUAAAGAAUUGACAACGCAAUAGCAGCACCCAAAAUACAACAUUUCACUUUUUGCAUACAGACAC
rnacentral:lncRNA from 1 species